AUUGAACGCUGGCGGCAUGCUUUACACAUGCAAGUCGAACGGUAACAGGCCUUCGGGCGCUGACGAGUGGCGAACGGGUGAGUAAUGCAUCGGAACGUGCCCAGUCGUGGGGGAUAACGCAGCGAAAGCUGUGCUAAUACCGCAUACGAUCUGCGGAUGAAAGCGGGGGACCUUCGGGCCUCGCGCGAUUGGAGCGGCCGAUGGCAGAUUAGGUAGUUGGUGGGGUAAAGGCUCACCAAGCCAACGAUCUGUAGCUGGUCUGAGAGGACGACCAGCCACACUGGGACUGAGACACGGCCCAGACUCCUACGGGAGGCAGCAGUGGGGAAUUUUGGACAAUGGGCGCAAGCCUGAUCCAGCAAUGCCGCGUGCAGGAAGAAGGCCUUCGGGUUGUAAACUGCUUUUGUACGGAGCGAAAAGGCUCCCUCUAAUGCAGGGGGCUCAUGACGGUACCGUAAGAAUAAGCACCGGCUAACUACGUGCCAGCCGCCGCGGUAACAC
rnacentral:rRNA from 1 species